rnacentral:lncRNA from 1 species
GUGACUGAGAGUAAGGUGCUCUGAAGUUCAGAAACUGAGGAAGGCCUCAUGGAGAAAGUGAAAGAAGAAUAACAGUUCUGCAGGCUGUAAGGGCUAAUGGAGCAUUUUGGGCAACUCAGUUAUUCUGUAGGGAAAUUAAGCAACUGCCCAAGUCUUUCAUUUGAAUGUUCCAGUGACUUGAACAAUCUGAAGAAUUAGAGCAAAUAUUUUUCACUUGAAGUCACGUUCCAGAAAAAAAUCUUUAUUUAGCAUCUUGGAUGAAAGAUCAGCAGCCUUCCAAGUAUCUUCAGCCUGCAGUAUUUGUGGACACCGGCUGAGUUAAGUCACAUGGUCAGAAAAACUAUUCCAGAAGCAGUAAAAUGGAUCUGACAAGCAGUCUAGGAAUCCAUAUAAUGCACCCCUACGCUCCCCAAAUGACAACCAGCUACCUCAGUACACCAGGUUUGAGCCACAUCAAGGGUCACUACCUCCCCUCUAUCUCAGAUAACCCC